rnacentral:rRNA from 1 species
UACAGAGGCCUCGAGCGUUAGGCGGAAUCACUGGGCUUAAAGCGUGUGUAGGCGGACUUCUAAGUACCUUGUGAAAUCCCACGGCUUACCCGUGGAACUGCUGGGUAUACUGGUUGUCUUGAGCCACUUAGGGGCUACCGGGACAAAUGGUGGAGCGGUGAAAUGCGUAGAUAUCAUUUGGAACGCCAAUGGUGAAAACAGGUAGCUGGGAGUGUGCUGACGCUGAGACACGAAAGCCAGGGGAGCGAACGGG